GCCAAAGACUGCCCCGGGACUGAGAGCAAAUAUAUAAAUUGUGUGAGGUACAAGAAGUCUGAAGUCAAUCACUCGGCGAAUAACCAGUGUUGGGUAGUUUUUCAGACUGAAAUUGAGAGAAUUCGUAACAUAACUGAUCAUGGCUACGAGUUCCUCAGAUACAAAGACAAAAUGUGGUCUGCUAAAUGUUUAGUCUGUGGGAAAUAAAACUCUAGAUAUCCGUGAUUUCAUCAAAGAAAAGGAUCUUGACAUUUUAGCGGUAACUGAAACAUGGCUAAAUGACUACGACGUCGCCAAGAUUCGUGAGAUGACGCCAGGGUUGGAGUAAUUGUAAUUGUAAUUUAAUUAGAAUGUAAUUAAUUACAUUAAAGUAUGUAAUUGUAAUUGGAUGUAGAACUUAAUGAAGUAAUUGUAAUUAUAAUUAAUUACAUUAUAAAGUAAUUGUAAUUUAAUUGUAAUUGCGAAAAAAGUAAGUCAUACUAAAAUUCUGAUAAUCCUUGUUUUUACUGCUAUGGUGGCAAAUAUGUAAAUACUGUAUAUGAUGAAGUAUGGCAACCCUUACUGGACAACCUACGUAUUAUACGAGAAUCAGACGCGUCCACUUUUCCCUGUUUGGUGGACUGGGACAUAUUUCAUUGCUUCCUAGACCGUCAUACGGCAAAGUCCUCCUCUUGACUUUCUAUUGUAAAGCAGUGGUUGCCAACACACCCAGUCACAUGCAGGUGUAUAGAUUCCCCCGUCAGGAAAUCAUCAGGCUCUGUGAUGAGUUGCACCCCCACCUGGAAAGGAGAACCAGGAGGGCACAUGCACUCCCAACACACACCCAGGUUCUGGCUACACUAAGGUUUUUGAGACAGUGCGUAUCCUAUGGAGCCAUUCCUGAUGACCCCAGUUGCACGCCCGACAACGCCUGGGGAGGAAUGAUACAACAAGUCAUCACAUGACAAGAUGCGUUGUCGAACGGACCUUUGGGAUCCUCAAGUCAAGGUGCAGGUGCCUACAUAAGUCAGGAGGAAGUUUGCAGCAUGACCCCAAGAAGACUAUGAAGAUUGCGACUUCUUGUAUGCUCCUGCACAACUACUGAGUGGAUCGCUGCAGAAGAAGUACCAGUUCAGCCUGUGAGAAACAGCAGACUGAUUCCUGGUCAAGUUGUCAGGCAGGAAAUUAUUAGAAACUUCCUUUCCUGAGUAUAGAUUGCGUAUGGUGCACCGGUGGCCGAGUGGUCAGUGUGUGUACGUGGUGAUCCAGAGGACUCGACUCCCACCGCAAGACACUGAGAGUUUUCAACCAUUGACAAGUGGCAGAGGGUUACCAACAUGCUGCCCAGCAGAUCUUCAGUCAACCCUAACUUCAGCGUCUUUGAUCAAGAGGGGCACCACCUCCACACCACACAUUCUUAUCACCUAGUUUGGUACCCUACUUGUCCAUCUCACAUGCCCCAUGUAUCUCAGCAUUCUGCACUCUUGGCUCCAUGUCAUCCUCUCCAACUUGUUGUUUCAUAUAGCAUAACCGGCCUCACAUACAUAGAAGUGAUCAAUAUACCUAGGCUAUAAUAUUAUAUUUAAGGACUCUUAUACGAGGUAUCGCCCCAUACAGAGGUGUCGAAGUAAGUCUGUCUGAUAGUAGGCUGGCUGACUGCUGUCGGGACCCAAGCCAGCAUGCCCUGGGGGUUGUGUGCAGGAGGAGGAAAGAGGGAAAAGGACAAAUGGUGUGUGUAUCAUUAUCAGGGGUAACCACGGUGGAGUGCAAACACUCAGUAGUUGUAGUAAGGCUUAAUUAAGUUGAUGAGUGGUGUUAGACUGAAUGAGCAGGUUUUUUACCAUAUGUUAGUGGGGACACUUGAUAGGUUUUGUUUGUGAGUUGGUGCUACUUGUUUCUUGUGUUUACAUGUUAGUUUAUAAUUAGACUAAGUUCUAAGUGUUAUGAGCGACAAUUUAGUCUUGUAUGGCUGAAUCCUGUCCCUUGACCCUUAGUUCAUCAUCAGAAUCUCUAAACAAAUAUAUUUACCUUAAGUAAUAUUCUUAAAGUCACGCUUCCCAUAUUAUUUGGCAGAUGAUAAUCCUGUGUGCGAUAAUGGUGCCUUAUAAGACUUGGUAAAUAAACUACUAAUUUUACUCUCUGGUUUAAGUGAUCAACAAUUAAUUCUACUUUGAGGUAUAAUUAACCAACAUUAUUAAGGAGUGCCCAUGCCAGGCACGACAUUAAGAAUAUUUUUCUGUUGACCAGCAGACUUACUAUAGUCAAACCAUUUCCAAUAGUCUGUUGAGGCAGUGGCUUCUGCAGGUCCUUUCCUCCCUUCUGCUUUGCCACACAGUUCCAAUUACCUAUUUCCUCUGUUUCCUGUCCCCUCUUUCACAAACUGGGCACCUAUAAUGCACCCCUACUUGAUUUACAUUUCUCAGCCCUGAGCAUCUCUUUGUGGCACCACUUAUCACCCCCUGUGCACAGGGCAGAGUUAGUAGCCAUUUCUCUUCCACACCAACUACCUUCCUAUAUAUAUGAUUUCUCAGUAAUUAGUUAUUUGUUGUGCUGUAUUAGCUGUUACGUGCUACAUCAAGCUGUAAUAUCUACCCAAGCUGCGGGUUAAUCCAAUAAAAAAAAAAGUGAAUGACUAAGUCAUGUGUUAUUAUUCCCAAGCUCCAUUGGCAAUGGCGAGUGCACAUUAUAUAACUGAAGCAUAUUACACAUUCAUUGAUCACAAUUAAAACUAACUACCCUAAUCAAAUUAAAUCUAACCUAACCUGAUCUGACCUAAUUAAACUAAAUAUAAGGUAACCUGGCCUUAAUGCCUGCUCCCAAAAUUAAAUAAAUGGAAAUAAAUAUGAUAUCAAUUUCCAAAAUAUACCUGAGGAACAAAAAGAGAAAGAAUGACAAGAAUUGAACUAUGAAACAAGAAUUGUUGGCUUCAAGAUGACCUCAACUGACUAAGAAUGACAAUUAAGAUCUACGCAAUGUGACAGGUCAGAAUUGAGUCUUGAAAAUGAUUUCUGAUGAUUAAGGAUGACAUGAUCUACUGAAUGACAACAAUUGUCUGCUUUGAAAAUGACCUCAGCUGAAAUAAUAUUGCAUGCAUUUAACCUUUUUACAUCACUCUCCAACAUCCUAUUCCAUUCGGUCACAACUGUUACCAUAAUCCUCUUUUCUCUCUUAUAUACAUCACUCAAGUAGCAUGUGCUCAAUCAUAUUGUUACCCUCCCUUUCACCCAUACAUGAAUGUCACACCUUGCUUCCCCCCAUCAGGCACCUGUGCUCCCACCUGCCUCUCCCUUGUCCAUCGCCCUUGCCAGGCCGGCCCCCAGGACUUGCCUCUCCUGAGCACUGUCAAACCUCUUCCUUAGUUCCCUCAUCUCACUCCUCAGUGC